UACGGAGGGGGUUAGCGUUGUUCGGAAUGACUGGGCGUAAAGCGCGCGUAGGCGGAUAUUUAAGUCGGGGGUGAAAUCCCGGGGCUCAACCCCGGAACUGCCUUCGAUACUGGGUAUCUUGAGUUCGGAAGAGGUGAGUGGAAUUGCGAGUGUAGAGGUGAAAUUCGUAGAUAUUCGCAGGAACACCAGUGGCGAAGGCGGCUCACUGGUCCGAUACUGACGCUGAGGUGCGAAAGCGUGGGGAGCAAACAGG
rnacentral:rRNA from 1 species